rnacentral:rRNA from 1 species
GAUGAGCGCUGGCGGCGUGCCUAAUACAUGCAAGUCGAGCGAACAGACGAGGAGCUUGCUCCUCUGACGUUAGCGGCGGACGGGUGAGUAACACGUGGAUAACCUACCUAUAAGACUGGGAUAACUUCGGGAAACCGGAGCUAAUACCGGAUAAUAUAUUGAACCGCAUGGUUCAAUAGUGAAAGACGGUUUUGCUGUCACUUAUAGAUGGAUCCGCGCCGCAUUAGCUAGUUGGUAAGGUAACGGCUUACCAAGGCAACGAUGCGUAGCCGACCUGAGAGGGUGAUCGGCCACACUGGAACUGAGACACGGUCCAGACUCCUACGGGAGGCAGCAGUAGGGAAUCUUCCGCAAAGGGCGAAAGCCUGACGGAGCAACGCCGCGUGAGUGAUGAAGGUCUUCGGAUCGUAAAACUCUGUUAUUAGGGAAGAACAAAUGUGUAAGUAACUAUGCACGUCUUGACGGUACCUAAUCAGAAAGCCACGGCUAACUACGUG